rnacentral:rRNA from 1 species
UGGGGAAUCUUGCACAAUGGGGGAAACCCUGAUGCAGCGACGCCGCGUGAGCGAUGAAGGUUUUCGAAUCGUAAAGCUCUGUCCUAUGGGAAGAUAAUGACGGUACCAUAGGAGGAAGCCCCGGCUAACUACGUGCCAGCAGCCGCGGUAAUACGUAGGGGGCGAGCGUUGUCCGGAAUUACUGGGCGUAAAGGGUUCGCAGGCGGCAUGACAAGUCCGAUGUAAAAGGCGAAAGCUCAACUUUCGUAAGCAUCGGAAACUGUCAAGCUUGAGUGAAGGAGAGGCGAGUGGAAUUCCUAGUGUAGCGGUGGAAUGCGUAGAUAAUAGGAGGAGUACCGGUGGCGAAGGCGACUUGCUGGACUUCAACUGACGCUGAGGAACGAAAGCGUGGGUAGCAAACAAG